UACAGAGGGUGCGAGCGUUAAUCGGAAUUACUGGGCGCAAAGCGCGCGUAGGCGGCCACCGCAAGUCGACUGUGAAAUCUCCGGGCUUAACCCGGAAAGGUCAGCCGAUACUGCGGGGCUAGAGUGCAGAAGGGGCAACUGGAAUUCUCGGUGUAGCGGUGAAAUGCGUAGAUAUCGAGAGGAACACCUGCGGCGAAGGCGGGUUGCUGGGCUGACACUGACGCUGAAGCGCGAAAGCUAGGGGAGCGAACGGG
rnacentral:rRNA from 1 species